GAUGAACGCUAGCUACAGGCUUAACACAUGCAAGUCGAGGGGUAACGAGAGGAAAGCUUGCUUUCCUUGUCGACGACCGGCGAACGGGUGAGUAACGCGUAUCCAACCUGCCCCCAACUAGGGAAUAACCUUGCGAAAGUAAGACUAAUACCCUAUAAUUUCCUCAGAUGUCAUCUGACGAGGACUAAAGAUUUAUCGUUUGUGGAUGGGGUUGCGUCUGAUUAGCUUGUUGGCGGGGUAACGUCCCACCAAGGCAACGAUCAGUAGGGGUUCUGAGAGGAAGGUCCCCCACAUUGGAACUGAGACACGGUCCAAACUCCUACGGGAGGCAGCAGUGAGGAAUAUUGGUCAAUGGGCGGAAGCCUGAACCAGCCAAGUAGCGUGCAGGAUGACGGCCCUAUGGGUUGUAAACUGCUUUUAUACAGGAAUAAAGUUAGCCACGUGUGGUUAUUUGUAGGUACUGUAUGAAUAAGGACCGGCUAAUUCCGUGCCAGCCGCCGCAGUAA
rnacentral:rRNA from 1 species